AUUCCCUUUCGUAGCAAGAUCGAACAUAAUACGCCCCCGGUUUGCAACCGGGAAUCCAGGAGAGUUCAUGUAC
rnacentral:sRNA from 1 species